AAUCAAUGCUGGCGGCGUGCCUCAGACAUGCAAGUCGAACGAUUAAAGCUCUCUUCGGAGAGUGCAUAAAGUGGCGCACGGGUGAGUAACACGUAAGUAAUCUACCCUCGAGUGGGGAAUAACGUCCGGAAACGGACGCUAAUACCGCAUAAUGCAGCGGCAUCGCAAGAUGACAGUUGUUAAAGAUUUAUCGCUUGAAGAGGAGCUUGCGGCAGAUUAGCUAGUUGGUAAGGUAAUGGCUUACCAAGGCUACGAUCUGUAACCGGUCUAAGAGGACGGUCGGUCACACUGACACUGAAUAACGGGUCAGACUCCUACGGAGGCAGCAGUCGGGAAUUUUGGGCAAUGGGCGAAAGCCUGACCCAGCAACGCCGCGUGAAGGAUGAAGUAUUUCGGUAUGUAAACUCCGAAAGAAUUGGGAAGAAUAAAUGACGGUACCAUUUAAUAAGGUCCGGCUAACUACGUGCCAGCAGCCGCUGUAAU
rnacentral:rRNA from 1 species